CAUAUCAUAAGCGGAGGAAAAGAAACUAACAAGGAUUCCCCCAGUAACGGCGAGUGAAGCGGGAAGAGCUCAAGCUUAAAAUCUCCAUACUUGUAUGGCGAAUUGUAGUCUAUUGAGGCUGUUGUCAGCAUCGCGAUUGGGGACAAGUCCCUUGGAAAAGGGCAGCAUAGAGGGUGAUACUCCCGUCUCUGCUCCAAUCUGCGGUGUGUACGAUACGCUUUCUUUGAGUCGAGUUGUUUGGGAAUACAGCUCAAAGUAGGUGGUAAAUUCCAUCUAAAGCUAAAUAUUGGUGCGAGACCGAUAGCGAACAAGUACCGUGAGGGAAAGAUGAAAAGAACUUUGAAAAGAGAGUUAAAGAGUACCUGAAACUGUUGAAAGGGAACCGUAUCGUUUCCAGUGUUGUAUCCUAUGCAUAUUUCAUUCGCGGAGUAAUUUGCGGGUGCCCUGUGCAUGGGUGUGACGUCAGGGUCAGUUUGUAUGCUGCGGGAGAUGGUCAGUGAGGAGGUGCGUCACUUCGGUGAAAGUUAUAUCUCGCUGUCUAGUAGCCGUGGUUGAGACUGAGGUGCCUACAACAUGCCUUAAGGUUCCGUGUUGUCUCGUGUUGGUGACUGCUUUGAUAGCUUGCUAUGUCUGUGGUUUAUCAGUGCGAUUGAUGAUGCGGAUAACUUUUGCUGUUCGGGACUCUGGCGAAAUGGAGCGAUAC
rnacentral:rRNA from 2 species